CAGCCGCCGCGGUAAUACGUAGGUGGCAAGCGUUGUCCGGAAUUAUUGGGCGUAAAGGGCUCGCAGGCGGUUUCUUAAGUCUGAUGUGAAAGCCCCCGGCUCAACCGGGGAGGGUCAUUGGAAACUGGGAAACUUGAGUGCAGAAGAGGAGAGUGGAAUUCCACGUGUAGUGGUGAAAUGCGUAGAGAUGUGGAGGAACACCAGUGGCGAAGGCGACUCUCUGGUCUGUAACUGACGCUGAGGAGCGAAAGCGUGGGGAGCGAACAGGAUUAGAUACCCGCGUAGUCCCUGUCUCUUAUAC
rnacentral:rRNA from 1 species